rnacentral:tRNA from 1 species
UUAAUAGAAGCUAAAUAGAAGCUAAUCUUUGUUAAAGAUUAAAUUGAGACUGAACCUCCUAUUAUC